rnacentral:lncRNA from 1 species
UGAUCCUGCCGGCAACUUGAACGUGGGUGAAUCGCUUCGUAACACUUUCUGCCCUGUCUUCGCGACUGCGUCUCCUGAAGAAUCACCUUCUGAACUCUCUCUCUCAGAUGUCUUCAAAAUGUGACCUGCAAAAUACACAGACGGCGCCUCUAGCGGCCGUUUGCACUCCGACAAUCAAGUUAGUUCAACAGAACCACCAGAAAC